rnacentral:rRNA from 1 species
AUGGAGAGCUUGGGUUGGUGGCUUUGGAAGCACCGGAGUGGGUGCAUCUUCGACAGGCAGCACCCCUCCAUCUCGCGCCUGGUGCAACAAAUCCAAGACGACGCACGCCGAUGGGUCAAGGCAGGGGCCUCCUGGUUAGAUAGUUUGUUGCCCGAGAGAUUGGCUUUUGUUAUGGUGGGUUGA